CAGCAACGCCGCGUGAGUGAAGAAGGCCCUUGGGUUGUAAAGCUCUGUCGACAGGGAAGAAAUUACUUCAUACCAAUAUCGGGUGGUAUUGACGGUACCUGUAGAGGAAGCACCGGCUAACUCCGUGCCAGCAGCCGCGGUAAUACGGGGGGUGCAAGCGUUAUUCGGAAUUAUUGGGCGUAAAGGGCGCGUAGGCGGUCUUGUCGGUCAGAUGUGAAAGCCCGGGGCUCAACCCUGGAAGUGCAUUUGAAACAGCAAGACUUGAAUACUGGAGAGGAGAGCGGAAUUCCUGGUGUAGAGGUGAAAUUCGUAGAUAUCAGGAGGAACACCGAUGGCGAAGGCAGCUCUCUGGACAGAUAUUGACGCUGAGGCGCGAAGGUGUGGGUAGCGAACAGGAUUAGAUACCCUGGUAGUCCACACAGUAAACGUUGUUCACUCGGUGUACGGGAUAUU
rnacentral:rRNA from 1 species